GAUGAAGAACGUAGCGAAAUGCGAUAAGUAAUGUGAAUUGCAGUAUUCAGUGAAUCAUCGAAUCUUUGAACGCACAUUGCGCCCGCGAGUAUUCUCGCGGGCAUGCCUGUCCGAGCGUCAUUUCAACCCUCAGGGCCCGCCUGCUUCGGCAGGCGCGGCGCUGGUGUUGGGGAUCGGCCUAACCGCCGUCCCCCAAAUACAGUGGCGGUCUCGCUGCAGCCUCCCCUGCGUAGUAGCAACACUCGCAUGCGGAGCGCGGCGCGGCCACGCCGUAAAACCCCCGACUUUCUGAACGUUGACCUCGGAUCAGGUAGGAAUACCCGCUGAACUUAAGCAUAUCAAUAAGCGGAGGA
rnacentral:misc_RNA from 1 species